rnacentral:lncRNA from 10 species
CCAAAAACCUUCGUAUUUUAGAUGGUAGGAAAGACAUUCCUCAUUUAGGCAAGUAGGGUUCUCAUUCAACCCUUUUCUGCUGUUUUUAGAACCUUCUGCUACCAUAUCCACCACUUCCACCACCAGAUCCAUAACCACCACCAUAGGGACCGCCCGAGCUUCUUCCACCAAAACUGCCCCCUUUCAUGGGUCCAUAAUUUGAUUGCUGUUGUCCACUAUAAUUUCUUAUAGUUCCCACCACCACCCGCCAUAGUUGCCACCAUCACCUCCAAAUCCAUUAUAUCCACCAUCACCUCCUCCAUAACUACCUCUGCUGCCACCACCUCCACCACCUCCAAAGUUCCCUCCGCGACCCAUAAAAUUGCCAGAUCCACCUCCACGACCUCUCCGUGAUCCAGCAGACUGCAUCUCUUGUUU